rnacentral:misc_RNA from 1 species
UUUAAUAACUAAGUUGACAAUUUAAUAGCUCCGUGGUACAAUUUGUCGUGUAACAGUUUUCAACCAUCAUCAAUUAUGGUAAAUUUUAUUCAUUAAUCACUGACUUAUCGCCAUGCAGUUCUGAAUCCGUGCUUACGUAAAUCCAUAUUACACUUGUCAAUUUCUCGAUUCAACUGGAUGAAAUUGACCUGUUAUGGAUUUACUUACGUAGAAGUCCGACUAUAGUGUGGUAUUUGGAUAUCCAUUUUGAUCGUGUUGUGGGUCUCUCGGUAUUGCUUUUCUCGUCUACAAUGAUGCGUUGCAGGAAGUGCAGAAAACCCUGAAAAUAGUACCAAAUGUGUGGAUAACAUUAUAAAUGAAGAUAUGAAGAUACCUAAAUCUAAAAAGUUGACAAAUUUCCAGAGCA